rnacentral:lncRNA from 1 species
CCUUGAAAUGCCUAUUUUGACCAUAAAAUGCCAAAAUUGGUCAUUUUUGCAGAAAUUCUAUAAAAUAAAAGUUUAAAUCCUUUAGUUUCAUGCUAUUUGACAAAGUGACACCACCAAAUCAUUUAGGGAAGUUGCCAAAGUACAGAUUCUAUAUUUACAGACUUCACCUCUUAGGUCCGAGAACACAAUUAAUUCGUAGUGCAUUUCUUUUAGAACAUAAAUGAAAAUAAAAAAAAUCCCACCUGCGCUUUCUCAAUGAAAUUUUUACAGUGUGUUGUACUACUUUUGGGACAAAUUAUAUCAAAAUUAUAGAAAACUUCAUCGCCUCUAACUCAAAAUAUGGACAAUUUUGUGUUUAGGGUGUCUUGAAAUCUUUUGACAGCUUCCGAAGUGCUAAUUUUUAACCUUUUUCAGCUGGACCAAAUCACUACUUUCCUGUAAAAUUCUGGACCCAAAUUUUUUUACAGUGUAAUUUCACCCCCCUACUUACAAUUUGAGGCAUUAAACUUGGAGAAAUAAAUUUGGAAGGGGUAUAAAAAUUAUUGGCAAGUAACCCACUGUUAACACUAGGGACUAUAUUCGUGAACAACGAAAAUCAAGGGACGACAAUUG